rnacentral:rRNA from 1 species
UAGAGUAAUGCGUGACCAACCUGCCCCAUGCUCCAGAAUAGCUCUUGGAAACGGGUGGUAAUGCUGGAUGCUCCAACUUGACGCAUGUCUUGUUGGGAAAGUGUUUAGUGGCAUGGGAUGGGGUCGCGUCCUAUCAGCUUGUAGCGGGGUAAUGGCCCACCUAGGCUUCGACGGGUAGCCGGCCUGAGAGGGCGGACGGCCACAUUGGGACUGAGAUACGGCCCAGACUCCUACGGGAGGCAGCAGCU